rnacentral:rRNA from 1 species
GACGAACCGUGCGAACGUUGUUCGGAAUCACUGGGCUUAAAGGGCGCGUAGGCGGGUUACCAAGUCAGGGGUGAAAUCUUUCGGCUCAACCGGAAAACGGCCCCUGAUACUGGUAGUCUUGAGGGAGGUAGGGGCAGGUGGAACUUCCGGUGGAGCGGUGAAAUGUGUUGAUAUCGGAAGGAACGCCGGUGGCGAAAGCGACCUGCUGGAUCUCUUCUGACGCUGAGGCGCGAAAGCUAGGGGAGCAAACGGG